UUAAUUAUCUUCAUUAGCCUGGAGUAUCAGCCACCAAGAUCAAUUCCAACAGGAGCGAAAACGAAACCCAGAUGAAAUUAAUGAAAGGUGCGGACCAAAUGGCAGCUAUUUAUUUCUUUGGCCAAACACCUUUAACAGGUUUCUGCCUACAUAGGAUUGGUACCAAGAUGUCCCAGUUUCGCUCCUUCAGCGAGUCGGGGAGAACACACCCAAAGAGCAGAGGGCGGUGCAGGACUCUAAGCUCAAGAGUGAAGAUAAAUGAGAGAGACCUGGAAAGCCUUAACAUCACCACACCAAACUGACUCUGUCACCAAGACUCACCACUAACGGGAAAAAGAGCCAGGCGCUCAUUCUACGAGCAAGUUAUAAAUCCUUACGGCCGUCUGGCGGCAUAACCUGAUUACUUUCUGUACACACCAAACCUAUCGAUCCACACAGAAAACAGGACGGCUGACCCCUUUGGGGGAGGGGUGUGUGUGAGGCUGUCACUUAUGUUCAAGAAUACAUUAAA